UACGGAGGAUCCGAGCGUUAUCCGGAAUUAUUGGGUUUAAAGGGUGCGUAGGCGGCCAUUUAAGUCAGCGGUGAAAUUUUGCAGCUUAACUGUAACAGUGCCGUUGAUACUGUUUGGCUAGGAUUUGGUUGUAGUGUGCGGAAUGUGUGGUGUAGCGGUGAAAUGCUUAGAUAUCACACAGAACACCGAUUGCGAAGGCAGCACACUAAGUCAUUAUUGACGCUGAGGCACGAAAGUGUGGGGAUCAAACAGGAUUAGAUACCCCGGUA
rnacentral:rRNA from 1 species